rnacentral:rRNA from 1 species
CCUACGGUGGGCAGCAGUGAGGAAUAUUGGUCAAUGGGCGGAAGCCUGAACCAGCCAAGUAGCGUGCAGGAUGACGGCCCUACGGGUUGUAAACUGCUUUUAUACGGGAAUAACGCGCCUUACGUGUAGGGCUUUGCAUGUACCGUAUGAAUAAGGACCGGCUAAUUCCGUGCCAGCAGCCGCGGUAAUACGGAGGGUCCGGGCGUUAUCCGGCUUUAUUGGGUUUAAAGGGAGCGUAGGCGGGAUGUCAAGCGUGUUGUGAAAUGUCCGGGCUCAACCCGGGCCUUGCAGCGCGGACUGGCGUGCUUGAGUCCGCGGAAGGCAGGCGGAAUUCGUGGUGUAGCGGUGAAAUGCUUAGAUAUGACGAAGAACCCCGAUUGCGAAGGCAGCUUGCUGCAGCGGAACUGACGUUGAUGCUCGAAAGCGCGGGUAUCGAACAGGAUUAGAUACCCUUGUAGUC